UGUAAGCGUAUACCAAAGUUGUUGCAGUUAAAACGCUCGUAGUCGGAAUUUGGCAGUUCCGGAUGUGUGCACGUCGUGUGCGCACUUCGCGGGGAUUGCUUUUGUGGUCUUGCGUAGGAUGAGGCACUUUUAUUAGUGAACGUCCUCACGCAACCACUUUUUACUGUGAGAAAAUCAGAGUGCUCAAAGCAGGCAUUUGCCGUGAAUGUAUUAGCAUGGAAUAAUAGAAUAGGACUUGGUUCUAUUUUGUUGGUUUGUUGGGACUGAGUAAUGAUUAAGAGGUACAGUUGGGGGCAUUUGUAUUUCGGUGCUAGAGGUGAAAUUCUUAGAUUACCGAAAGACAAACUGCUGCGAAAGCGUCUGCCAAGGAUGUUUUCAUUGA
rnacentral:rRNA from 1 species